AACGGCCGUACCAUGCUGAAUAUACCGCUUCUCAUUAGAUCACCGAAGUCAAGCAUCAUUGGGCGCGGUCAGUACUUGGGUGGGUGACCACCUGGGAACACCGCGUGCCGUU